rnacentral:rRNA from 1 species
CGCGGCUGCAGUAAGGAAUAUUGCGCAAUGGGCGACAGCCUGACGCAGCGACGCCGCGUGGGGGAUGAAGGUCUUCGGAUUGUAAACCCCUUUCGGCCGGGAAGAUGGAACGGGUAACCGUUCGGACGGUACCUGCAGAAGCAGCCACGGCUAACUUCGUGCCAGCAGCCGCGGUAAUACGAAGGUGGCAAGCGUUGUUCGGAUUUACUGGGCGUACAGGGAGCGUAGGCGGUUGGGUAAGCCCUCCGUGAAAUCUCCGGGCCUAACCCGGAAAGUGCGGAGGGGACUGCUCGGCUAGAGGAUGGGAGAGGAGCGCGGAAUUCCCGGUGUAGCGGUGAAAUGCGUAGAGAUCGGGAGGAAGGCCGGUGGCGAAGGCGGCGCUCUGGAACAUUUCUGACGCUGAGGCUCGAAAGCGUGGGGAGCAAACAGGAUUAGAUACCCCAGUAGUC